GUGGACAACCUAGCACUGAGAAUGAACUCAACCAUCACUGAACCACUACAAAAUGCUCUGCAUAAUGUAACAAACCAAAUGAUGUGCUCUGUUCAGAAAAAGCAUCUUACCUGUGAGAGACGAUGAUUGGCUCUGGCAUUUAUCACAAAAAGUAACUUGUUUCACUGCGACAGCUCCAUGUUGGUCAAUGCCCCUUUGCCCUUCAUCGGAGUCAGAUGUAUGGAGUUGCUGACCAGUGAUGCUGGAGUUAGCUAGAAGCUGAUCGGGUUGAAUGUUGUCCUGUGUACCACACAUCAAAGAAACAUUAUUAUUUGAGAUAAGCUCUAUUAUUGAAACUAAAUACAGUUAGGUGUUUUGUUACUAUUUAUCAUUGAUUAUUUUCACAUUAACCCAGCUUUAACCAUAAGUCAUUAUAACUAAAAUGAUCGAAUAGCCUAUGGACAGUAUGACUUUGGUCCGUGUAUCAUCAUCGUUCAUUAAAUUAUUUUUGAAAAUCCAGAGAACAAAAAAAAAGAAAUGCUAGCUAACUACUUACUUGUUCCUGUGGUACUUGGCCGUCCUCCGAUGGCUGUUCAUCUGGUCGGGUGCAAUCAAGUAGGUGUUGAAGGGGUCUUCUCUUUACAUGAUGACAGAAGGAAUUUUACACUCUAUAUUCCCCAGUGCACCCGUCAAUACCACAGAGCAACUAGAAAUCAGGGCUGCGACUGUGCAAGUUAUUGAUAUGGCUCAAUAACAGUUUCAAUGAAAAAGUCAUAAAAACUCAGCAGAUAACGCACCGCCAAAGCAUCUUGAACGUUACUAAAAGAAAACGCAAGUAAAAACGUUCCCACUGCUUCCGAUGAAAAGGGCAGAAAGAACUGAAAAUGAUGUUCACAGGUGUUUAUAAUACGACCAAGUAAUUUGAUUGGAGUAGAGUACAACAGCACUGGGACUUUUAACUAUACAUGUAUCACUCCGCUUUACAGGUGUUCUAAGAACCGUUAAUUACAUUAACAAUCGUUAUCUUAGAUUGUAAAAAAAACUUCGCACCGCAAAGAUGAUCAAUGUUUCCACAAAUAACAUUUGAGUUCAAUUAUGAAUGGUCGUCAGGAGAGGACGGUAACGUGUAGACCUAUACAAAGUAGCAGUAGCAAGCUAAUGUGUAGGAAAAUGUAUAUGUGGUGCUUGGCAACAGUCCAGUCCCAGACCAGGGGCCUGUUGCACAAAAGUAGAAUUAAGACAUCCGGGAUAAAUGACUCAGCUGAGCUCAAUGAAGCCAAAACAUGUGCGUCCAGGCUUAAUUGGUUGCACAAAGACCAAGCCAGGAUGAGCAGACACGGAUUCAUUAAGCCAGGUGAAACCAAUCCUGGAUAGGUGCGCGCUCACGGCUCACUCAAAUAGACCCCGCCACAGAUCACAGAUUAACUGAUUUACCAUGGCAACUAGAGCCGCGUACUUUUCCCCGUCGGAAGCACAAAUCCUCAUGGAGGCAUACGAGGAGGUAAAAGAUAUAAUUAAGAAGAAAGGCAACACCGCCACAGUGAUAAAGCAAAGAGAAAAAGCGUGGCAAAGUAUUGCAGACCGCCUGAAUGCGUAAGUAGUGCACAAUUACACACUCACCGCUCCGCUGAAACAUCACAAUUACAAUUCAAAUAUUUAAUUCACAUCUCCAAAAAUGCAGUUGUACUGUAAUUAUGAAACGGUUAAAUUUUUAAUUGAAAUGCACUGCAGAUAUGAGUGAAAUUGUGUAAAGUAACUCCAUCACACUGUAUAAAGCUAUGAUACAUUUUUUGAUAUUUUUACUGAAAACAAGACAAAAAUACCAAGUAAUUUUUUGCAGUGUGACUCCAUUGUGUGUGUGUGUGUGUGUGUGUGUGUGUGUGUGUAGAUUAAACAUGAACGGGCCAAAACGGACAUGGCAACAGGUCAAAAUCAAAUACAAUAACAUUCUGCAGAAUGGUAUGGUCCCUGACUAAUAUUUAACAAAGCACAAGCAUAUAUUGUACCCAGAAGGUGCCUGCUCACACAUUGUCUGUACUGUUUUAGCAGUGAAAAAGAAUACCCACAGACAAGGCACGGGUGGUGGGUCACCAAAGGCUGACCUUACCCCAGCAGAGGACAUGGCCUUGGAGCUAAAUAAAGGCAGGCCCGUCUUAGAGGGGAUCCCUGGGGGGGAAAGAGACGAGCAUAGGUUCCUCCCAAGAUGCCACCCGCUUCAUUCAAGUGCCUGGCAGCACUGUGUUCCUGUUAGAGCCACCAGCACAAGCACCAGACGAUGCUGAUCCAGGUGAAGGCCCCAGUACAGCAGCAACAGCACAUGAUGGAGACGAUGAUGAGGAGGAGACCAUCUCUCUGGAUUCCAGAAGGCAUGAGGACCCAGAUGCUAUACAGUGGGAAAACCAGCCUGGCAACAUAGUGCGUAUUAAUAAAAGGACACCACAUCCUGCCAAAUUCCAGCUGCGCUAAUUGUAUUGUGUUCACAGAGCUCACAAGCUAUCAGAAAGUUGUAUGGCAACCACCUCCGGCGCCAAAUAGAACUGGCAGACAUAGACAUUCAGUACAAGAAGAAAAAGAUGGAAAAUCUUGCACUGGAGUCCGAAAUAAAAAAGAGGACAAUUAGGAAACUGGACCUUGAAAUAAAAAAACUUGAGGGAGCUCCAAGAAGAUGACACAGCUCAAAAUAAAAAUUAGCAAUCAGUACAACCAAGUCAUCGUUAUAAGGCAUCGCCCUCUUUUGCCCACCCCCCCAGCACCAGGUGUGGCCACUAGCCUAUAUGAAGGCCCAAAAUUGUGUGUUCCUUUCUGCUCUGACAAUGGCAUGCCCAUUCGUGCGAGAUGUGGUGGAUGAAGAAGCACUUGUGCUGAGGAGAGCCUUCAGGCGAGAAAGGGUCUUCAGGGACCGGUUGGACCCACUGGCCUUCCCUGAUGACCAUCUAUAUGAAAGAUACAGGUUUUCUGCAGAUGGCAUCAGGUAUCUAUGCAGACUACUGGGUCCCAGGAUUAAGCACCGCACUGCACGGAGCCAUGCACUGAGUGUGGAGCAAAUGGUUUGUGUGGCCUUGCGCUUUUUGCUAGUGGAGCCUUCCUGUACUCAGUGGGGGAUGCUGAACAAGGCCACAAUUUGCCGCACAAUAAGGAGUGUGUGUCUGGCUAUCAAAGCAUUAGCAGAUGUCUUCAUCUCCUUCCCUGGCCACAGAAGACUCUGUGACAUCAAAGAGGAGUUCUAUAGGAUUGCAGAUGGUCUGCAAUGCUGACUGUGUGAUCAGCAAUGUUGUGGCAAAAUGGCCUGGCUCAGUCCAUGACUCCAGAAUCUUUCGGGCCUCUGAAAUCUAUCAGUGCCUAUCACAAGGUGAAUUCUCUGGUGUGUUGCUGGGAGACAGGGGUAUGGCUGCCAGCCUUUUCUCCUGACACCUUUCACAGACCCCCAGGAAGCACAGCAGGCCUACAACCAUGCCCAUGCCAGGACCAGGGCCAGAGUUGAAAUGACCUUUGGCCUCCUGAAGGCACGCUUUCACUGCCUUCACAAAUUAAGGGUCAGCCCUGUUAGGGCAUGUGAUAUUACUGUGGCUUGUGCUGUCCUCCACAAUGUGGCCUGCGUGAGGAAGGAGAGGGCCCCCAGAGUGCCACCAGCCAUGGACUGGGACAAUCCGGCAAUCUUCCCUGAUGACGACAGUGGUCGGCUGCUGAGGGACCAAUAUGUGUUGAAUUAUUUUAGUUAGUAUGUGUGCUUUCAAUUUUGGUUAAAUAUGUCCUGCGGUGGCAGAGGAAUUUGUUUUUUUUUUUUUUUUUUUGGGUUC